rnacentral:rRNA from 13 species
AACAACUCACCUGCCGAAUGAACUAGCCCUGAAAAUGGAUGGCGCUCAAGCGUGCUACCCAUACCUCGCCGUCAGGGUAGAAACGAUGCCCUGACGAGUAGGCAGGCGUGGAGGUCAGUGACGAAGCCUUGGGGGUGACCCCGGGUAGAACGGCCUCUAGUGCAGAUCUUGGUGGUAGUAGCAAAUACUCAAAUGAGAACUUUGAGGACUGAAGUGGGGAAAGGUUCCAUGUGAACAGCAGUUGGACAUGGGUUAGUCGAUCCUAAGGCAUAGGGAAGUUCCGUUUUAAAGGUGCCCUCGUGCACCGUAUGCCGAAAGGGAAGCC